GAUGAACGCUGGCGGCGUGCCUAAUACAUGCAAGUCGAACGAAAAGUCUUUGUCAUUGCGUGCUUGCCGUCACCGGUACAGGGGUGAGUGACGAGCGGAUGAGUAACACGUAGGCCAGCUACCCCAAAGAGAAGGCUGACACUAUAACACAGGAGCUACUGCAGCAUAACGAUAGUUAGCGAAUGGUGGCUGUGUAGAAGGUGACUGUGCUACCGCUGUUGGAUGGGCCAGGGGCGCAUUAGCUAGUUGGUAGGGUAAAGGCUUACUAAGGCAAUGAUGCGUAGCCGAAUGGAGAGGGGGAUCGGCCACAUUGGGACGGAGACACGGCCCAAACUCCUACGGGAGGAAGCAGUAGGGAACCUGCGACAAUGGGCGAAAGUUGGAGGGAGCAACGCGGCGUGGGUGAAGAAGGCCUCGGGAUCGUAAACCCUGGUUGUUAGAGAAGAAAGGGAGUGAGAGUAACUGUUCAGUGUUGGACGGUACUUAACAAGAAAGCCCCGGCUAACUACGUG
rnacentral:rRNA from 1 species